rnacentral:rRNA from 1 species
GUGGGGAAUUUUGGACAAUGGGCGCAAGCCUGAUCCAGCAAUGCCGCGUGCAGGAAGAAGGCCUUCGGGUUGUAAACUGCUUUUGUACGGAACGAAACGGUCCUGGUUAAUACCUGGGGCUAAUGACGGUACCGUAAGAAUAAGCACCGGCUAACUACGUGCCAGCAGCCGCGGUAAUACGUAGGGUGCGAGCGUUAAUCGGAAUUACUGGGCGUAAAGCGUGCGCAGGCGGUGCUGUAAGACAGGCGUGAAAUCCCCGGGCUCAACCUGGGAAUUGCGCUUGUGACUGCAGUGCUGGAGUACGGCAGAGGGGGAUGGAAUUCCGCGUGUAGCAGUGAAAUGCGUAGAUAUGCGGAGGAACACCGAUGGCGAAGGCAGUCCCCUGGGCCUGUACUGACGCUCAUGCACGAAAGCGUGGGGAGCAAACAGGAUUAGAAACCCGUGUAUCC